AGUAUUUCCUUCAAAUAGUUUCCUUUCUAUCCCCUUCAUACUCCCUUCACGCCUCUGUUUCACUACUCCACACCUUUCAUCCUCACGAACUGCCACCACCAAUACCCAUCUACCCUCUCCCAACUUCUAUUUCUCCAUCUCUGUUUCUAUUCCCUAAGCAUACAAACCCUUUCAUUCCACCAAUUUCCGUCGUUCAUUCACAACACCAACCUCAACCCACAAAUUUCCUUCCGUCUCCGCCAUACCUAUUCAAUCUCACUCGCAACUUUAACCCAUUUCACGAAUUCAAUCUCACUCGCAACUGUAACCCAUUUCACGAAUUCAAUCAGACAACAACACCCCUGUCCAAUUUUCACAAGCUGCGAACCGUUCCUUCCUAA